rnacentral:rRNA from 1 species
AAUUGACGGGGGCCCGCACAAGCGGUGGAGCAUGUGGUUUAAUUCGAAGCAACGCGAAGAACCUUACCAGGUCUUGACAUCCUUUGACCACUCUAGAGAUAGAGCUUCCCCUUCGGGGGCAAAGUGACAGGUGGUGCAUGGUUGUCGUCAGCUCGUGUCGUGAGAUGUUGGGUUAAGUCCCGCAACGAGCGCAACCCUUAUUGUUAGUUGCCAUCAUUUAGUUGGGCACUCUAGCAAGACUGCCGGUGACAAACCGGAGGAAGGUGGGGAUGACGUCAAAUCAUCAUGCCCCUUAUGACCUGGGCUACACACGUGCUACAAUGGGAAGUACAACGAGUCGCAAAGUCGCGAGGCUAAGCUAAUCUCUUAAAGCUUCUCUCAGUUCGGAUUGUAGGCUGCAACUCGCCUACAUGAAGCCGGAAUCGCUAGUAAUCGCGGAUCAGCACGCCGCGGUGAAUACGUUCCCGGGCCUUGUACACACCGCCCGUCACACCACGAGAGUUUGUAACACCCGAAGUCGGUGAGGUAACCUUUUGGAGCCAGCCGCCUAAGGUGGGAUAGAUGAUUGGGGUGAAGUCGUAACAAGGUAGCCGUAUCGGAAGGUGCGGCUGGAUCACCUCCUUUCUAAGGAA